CAGUAGCCACGGGAAUACGGAGGGUGCAAGCGUUAAUCGGAAUUACUGGGCGUAAAGCGUGCGUAGGCGGUUCGUUAAGUCUGUUGUGAAAGCCCCGGGCUCAACCUGGGAAUGGCAAUGGAUACUGGCGAGCUAGAGUGUGUCAGAGGAUGGUGGAAUUCCCGGUGUAGCGGUGAAAUGCGUAGAGAUCGGGAGGAACAUCAGUGGUGAAGGCGGCCAUCUGGGACAACACUGACACUGAGGCACGAAAGCGUGGGGAGCAAACAGGAUUAGAUACCCGGGUAGUCCCUGUCUCUUAUAA
rnacentral:rRNA from 1 species